rnacentral:rRNA from 1 species
GGCCGCACAAUUUUAACUGUGCAAAGGUAGCAUAAUCACUAGUUUUUUAAUUGAAAGCUUGAAUGAAUGGUUGGACGAGGUACUAACUGUUUCAUAUUAAAAUUUAGAAUUUAAUUUUUUGGUAAAAAAGCCUAGAUUUUUUUGAAAGACGAGAAGACCCUAUAGAUCUUUAUAAUUUUAUUAUAAUUAUUUUAUAAGGAUUAAUUUAAUUAAUAUAUUUAAAUUUAUUUUGUUGGGGUGAUAUAGAUAUUUAUUAAACUUUCUUUAUUUUUUUUUACAUUUAUUUAUGAUUUUAUAUGAUCCUUUAUUUUAGAUUAUAAAUUUAAGUUACCUUAGGGAUAACAGCGUAAUUUUUUCGGAGAGUUCAUAUCGAUGNNNNAGGUUGCAACCUCGAUGUUGGAUUAA